rnacentral:ncRNA from 2 species
AGGUCUCAUUGCCAGCAGUUUCACGGAAACCCACUAUCUGCAAGACGGUACUGAUGUCUCCCUCGCUCGAAAUUACACGGGUCACUGUUACUACCAUGGACAUGUACGGGGAUAUUCUGAUUCAGCAGUCAGUCUCAGCACGUGUUCUGGUCUCAGGUAAGUGGCCAUGACCAUGGCGGCUCUAGUCUUCAGCCAUCUACUGCAGGCAACCUCUGUCUUUUCCUGCUCGUGCUAAAGCACUGAGAGUGAGUGAUGGGGGCUCCCAGCUCAGCUACACCUCCACCUAGGCAAGAGAACACGGAGGCCCUCUCUCCACUGCUUACAAGAGCAUGGCCACCCAGGAUCUUAGCCUCAUGUUCAUGCCCCCUCUUA